GACGAACGCUGGCGGCGUGCCUAAUACAUGCAAGUCGAACGCACUGGGGACGGGUGAGUAACACGUGGGUAACCUCCCAUCAGAGGGGAUAACACUUGGAAACAGGUGCUAAACCGCUACUGAUGGAUCGACGCGGGGUGCAUUAGCUAGUUGGUGAGGUAACGGCUCACCAAGGCCACGAUGCAUAGCGGGGCUGAGAGGGUGAUCGGCCACACUGGAACUGAGACACGGCCCAGACUCCUACGGGAGGCAGCAGUGGGGAAUCUUGGGCAAUGGGCGAAAGUCUGACCGAGCAACGCCGCGUGAGUGAAGAAGGUUUUCGGAUCGUAAAGCUCUGUUGUUAGGGAAGCGGUACCUAACCAGAAAGCCACGGCUAACUACGUGCCAGCAGCCGCGGUAAUAC
rnacentral:rRNA from 1 species